rnacentral:miRNA from 1 species
UCUGCUAUUACAAUUGUGCUC